CAUGGAGGGUGAGAAUCCCGUUCGGUUGAUCAGGUCACUUUACGAUACGUCAUCAAAGAGUCAAGUUGUUUGGGAUUGCAGCUUAAAAUGGGAGGUAAAUUUCUCCUAAGGCUAAAUAACGGCGAGAGACCGAUAGCGAACAAGUACCGUGAGGGAAAGAUGAAAAGAACUUUGAAAAGAGAGUUAAACAGUACGUGAAAUUGUUGAAAGGGAAACGAUUAAAGCCAGUCGUACCGGCGGGUAAUCAGCCUUUUGGGUGUGAUUAUGUGGAACGUGAGGAGUUUAAUCGCCUUCAUGCCUGCAUAUUCGUGCACUUUGGGUGUACUUGCUCGUGUGGUAGGUUAACAUCAAUUUCGAUCAUCAUAAAAUGAUUGGGGGAAUGUAGCUUCGAUCUCGUGUUGAAGUGUUUUAUAGACUCUGGUAGAUGUGAUGAUCGGGAUUGAGGAUUGCAACGGAUACCCUUCGGGGCUACCCGUCUGAUCUCUGAGAGUUACUCUGGUGCUGAAAGCGUGCUUACGGUAUCAAAGUUGACGUUCAAUAGGUUAGAACGGGAUAAAUUCGUUAAGGAUGUUGACGUAAUGG
rnacentral:rRNA from 1 species